CUGAAGGGCAGUGUCACGAUCAUAGCUCACUCCAGCCUUGAAUUCCUGGCCUCAGGCAAUUUUCCCUCCUUGGCCUCUCAAAGCACUGAGAUUAUAGGCAUGAGCCACUGUGCCCAGCCUAGCAUUCUUUUGGAAACAAUGGGCCCCAAAUAAAACCCCUUCCCACUGUCUUCACCUCCAAACCUGAAACUACCUGCUUCAUCUCCUCAUCACAAAGGCUGUUCCAUCAAACCACUGCAAUGGAGUCUUCUCACGCACAUACUUACUUGAAUUCAAUGAUAAGCACUUGGCAAGUAAUAGUGCCGGAGAUUCCUCAUUCAUUCCAUUGUGUGCCCCCCCGAUUGAAGGUGAGAUGGGAACAGUAAGUUUUAUGUCUCUUGGUUCCCUCCAGCCUCUCAUAGUGUGAGCAUCUCGCGUAUAAGGAUUCCAGUGCAUAUUUGUACUACGUGGAUUCUGAAGACCAACUGUUUUCACUGGUGCUCAGCCAAAGGCACAAGAGUUGACUCCAGCUCAGGAGAGGCACUAGCUGAUCCCUAAUGGAGCCCCUCCGCAAGGGGUUUUUGAGAGGAAUUUUGCAGCUUCCUCUGCUGCACACAUCCCCAUUGAAGCUAUGAUUUCACCAUCCGUCUAUUGCCAUGUCCUCAUUAGGCAUUCUCCUUCGUGAACCUGGACAAUUUCAACUGGUCUUCCUGCUUCUGUUUCUCCUCUCUAGUCCUUCAAAAUGUCCUUCUGGCCGGGCGCGGUGGCUCACGCCUGUAAUCCCAGCACUUUGGGAGGCCGAGGCAGGCGGAUCACGAGGUCAGGAGGAGAUCGAGACCAUCCUGGCUAACACGGUGAAACCCCGCCUCUACUGAAAAUACAAAAAAUUAGCCGGGCGUGGUGGCGGGCACCUGUAAUCCCAGCUAUUUGGGAGGCUGAGGCAGGAGAAUGGCGUGAACCCGGGAGGCGGAGCUUGCAGUGAGCAGAGAUCGCGCCACUGCACUCCAGCCUGGGCGAAAGAGUGAGACUCUGUCUCAAAAAAAAAAAAAAAUGUCCUUCUAUAAGAUCUCACUGUGUUGCCCAGGUUGGAGUACAGUGGCUCAAUCUUGGCUCACUGCAGCCUUAACCUCCCAGAUUCAAGCAAUCCUCCCACCUCAGGCUUCUGAGUAGCUGGGACUAAGAUACAAGCCAACAUGCCUGGCUAAUUAAUCUUUUUGUAGAGACAAGUGUCUCACUAUGUUGCCCAGGCUGGUCUGGAACUCCUGGGCUCAAGCAUCCUCCACCUUGGCCUCUAAAGUGCUGAGAUUUCAGGCAUGAGCCACCAUGCCCAAUGGUGUCAUUUCUUUAGUUUACAGUCUUUGAUGUCUUUCAACCAAGAGAAAUCCCCAUUGAAAUCUUGACCAUCAACCUGCCUUCCAAUGCUGUUUUUCCUUCCCUGACACGUAGGCUUCAGUCUGGUCACAUGUGUGACCUGAAGCCUGUAAUCAUGGCAUCCCUCCUGCCACUCUGCCUUCCCUCAUGGUUCACCCUGUGCCUGGAGGACCCUUACCUGUCACCCUCUUUACCUGCUGAACUCAUUCUUCAGGGCCCUGCCCCAGGGUCACUCUGUGGAAUUGGAAUUGUCACUAGCCACAAACAAAUGGCUCUUUCCUCUCUUAUGACAUUUGUUCAUCUAUCUCUGCCUGCUUGUUCCGACUGUGACCUCUGCGAGGGACAGUGUCCUAUUCAUCUCUCUCCCCACUUCCAGGGCCUGGCACAGUUAAAUGGCCGUGCCAAGGUGGUGGUAAGUUGAGGAGAUGAGAUC
rnacentral:lncRNA from 10 species